rnacentral:lncRNA from 1 species
GUGUGUGUGCCGGGACGCUGGAGGAGAGAGUGGGGAGUGGUGCAGUGUGGUCGCGGGAUCGAUACCUUCGGCAGGAAUGAUAGAUUUGUGAGACUAUAGCUAUAAUCUCAAAGGAAACUCCAAAACAAGAGGAGAGAAAGGAGAAGGAAAUAAAUAAAAAAAAGGUGAAAGAGAGAGAGAGAUAGAGAAGAGAA